rnacentral:lncRNA from 1 species
GGGUCAUGUCCUCAGUCAUCUUGAAAUAUAAUUAAAUAUGUAUGAACCAACUGAAUAAACUAAAAACUAACUGACUGUCUAUCUGUCUGAAAGCCUAUAAAAUCAUAAGAAGAUGAUGGGACAAACCCCUAACUAACUCCGACUGACUUAACAUGAGGAAAUUCUAAAAUAAUAGAUAUAACAUGCCAUGUACUCGAUGGAUGAGGACUCACCACUACUG